UAGCCAUUCUCUUGACCCAACCAUCACGAGAAAGCCUGAAGUCCAGCCGUGUUCCAGUCUCACUUUCCUGCUUGGAAGCAUGGGGUCUCCAUGUUGUCCUCUCAGUGAUCUCAUCACCCUGCAACCUCCAGUGGGGAAGAGUCACAGAGAGCUCUUAAGCAGAGGUGGAGAUGGCGCGGUAAGAGGAAGGAGAGCCAGGCCCAAGUGUUGGCAACAGAUUAGGUCUCAGAGGGAAGAAUGGAAGACAGUCAUUUUGUUGGUUUAUUUUUAUCUUUAUUUUUUUGUGUAUGUGUGUGUGUGGAGAAAUAUCAUACUUUUUUUGUGGACACACUUGCCCCCUCCUUCUUCUUCUUUCUGGAAUGGCUCACAAUGAGUGCAAUGUUAGAAAGUCCUUUGGAAAGAGUUUUUUUGCUGACUCCACCUGGGUCCCUAGAGCUACAGUUCCGACAAGCAUUGGCUACAGAAGGUCUUGCCUGUGGAUUGGCCAUCCUACUAGGACCACAAGGGACCAAGGGAAUCAGGGACCAAGACCCUUCCUCCUAGCCUAUGAUCUCGGGAUUGGCUCUCCUCCCCUACAUUCACUUUCUCUUGACUCUGAGAACCUUUGGAACCCAGUGGAAUCAUCAGUCAAGGUCAAGAUGAACUGAAGGGGAAGUGAAGUAAAAACCUGGUCUCCUCCUGCCCCUCUCAUGGCACUGACGGGUGUGUCAUCCUGGUCUCUGGUUGAUAUGUGUGUUCACUUUGCUUGCUUCCACUCAUGUCUUACUCUAGAGCCAUCCUCUCCCAAAGAAGGGUUGUUCCCCCAUUUUGGCCCUCUGGGGAGGGGGAAGGGGUUGAUAGUUCUUUAUAUAAUAGGAAAGGCAGAGCAUAAUAGCUUUGCCAGGUUGGCUGAGUGCCGGCUGAGUGAAUUCUGGCUUGGCACCAACUCUCCCCAGUUCCAUGGAGGUCCCUGUUAUGGGAAAGGAGAGCGGGCAUCCCAAGUUAAGUUCUUGAGACAACGUAGUGGUUAUUUAACAACCAGUAUGUUCUGAUGUAGUAUUGCACAGCAGUGAAAGACAGAACAUAUGCUGAUGGCAAAUUGAGCAAAUUUACCUACAUGCUAAAGAUACUACUCAAGGGUUAUAGCCCUUAGUGCCUGUAGAUGGUGGAUCAUCAUGCCAGGUUCCUAGCCUGAUGCUCUAGAUACCUCCGUGGGGUACAUAAGCAUGUAGCUUUCCAAGUUCUUUCCCAGGACCCAGAGUGACCUCCACAGUGUCACUUUAGGUACAGGGUUCCUCAAGGGCCCCCAGUUCCUUCUAGCACCUCUUAUCCUACUUCCCAUGGUUCUAGGUCAGACUCUUCCCCAUCACACCCAGAUGAUCCCUCGGGUUCAGAUCUACUCCUGAGUGUGGCUUUAAGGAGUAAGCUUGAGGAUGAUGUUUUUAAUUGUUGUAAAUCAUGACCUCAUUUCCAGCCUCUCGGGCUCCAUCCAUCACAGCAUCUUUUAUUCUGGCAUUUCUUCACUUUGUGCUAUGACAAUGGGGCAUUGUGUUUCCACAGAGACUUAUAGGAGUGUUCAGUGUAUAGUUUCUUAAUAAACACUUUAUUUUCUAAUG
rnacentral:lncRNA from 1 species